GGCUCAGGAUGAACGCUAGCUACAGGCUUAACACAUGCAAGUCGAGGGGCAGCGGGAUUGAAGCUUGCUUCAAUUGCCGGCGACCGGCGCACGGGUGAGUAACGCGUAUCCAACCUUCCGUACACUCAGGGAUAGCCUUUCGAAAGAAAGAUUAAUACCUGAUGGUAUGAUGAGAUCGCAUGGUAUCAUCAUUAAAGAUUUAUCGGUGUACGAUGGGGAUGCGUUCCAUUAGGUAGUAGGCGGGGUAACGGCCCACCUAGCCUGCGAUGGAUAGGGGUUCUGAGAGGAAGGUCCCCCACAUUGGAACUGAGACACGGUCCAAACUCCUACGGGAGGCAGCAGUGAGGAAUAUUGGUCAAUGGGCGAGAGCCUGAACCAGCCAAGUAGCGUGAAGGAUGAAGGUCCUACGGAUUGUAAACUUCUUUUAUACGGGAAUAAAGUUUCCUACGUGUAGGAUUUUGUAUGUACCGUAUGAAUAAGCAUCGGCUAACUCCGUG
rnacentral:rRNA from 1 species